UACGUAGGGUGCGAGCGUUGUCCGGAAUUAUUGGGCGUAAAGAGCUCGUAGGCGGUCUGUCGCGUCGGUCGUGAAAACCUGCAGCUUAACUGUGGGCGUGCGGUCGAUACGGGCAUGACUGGAGUUCGGCAGGGGAGACUGGAAUUCCUGGUGUAGCGGUGAAAUGCGCAGAUAUCAGGAGGAACACCGAUGGCGAAGGCAGGUCUCUGGGCCGAUACUGACGCUGAGGAGCGAAAGCGUGGGGAGCGAACAGG
rnacentral:rRNA from 1 species